GGUAAUUCUUGUGGUCAGAGAAAGAUCUUGAAGUCUAUUUGUUUCCAGAAAAAAUUGAUAAGCCUUGCACGAUCAAAUCUUGAGAUACACCAUGAUUAUUGCAGACUGCUCCAGAAAUCAGCAAAAGAUAGAAACAGGAGAUAGCCAAACCCAACUACUUAUUUCACUAAUCCUUAUGCCUUAGGUCUAUAAACUAAUGAAAUUGUG
rnacentral:lncRNA from 1 species